rnacentral:rRNA from 1 species
UACAUGGGGUGCAAACGUUGCUCGGAAUUAUUGGGCGUAAAGCGCGCGUAGGCGGUUACUUAAGUCGGAUGUGAAAGCCCUCGGCUUAACUGAGGAAGUGCACCCGAAACUGAGUAGCUAGAGUACGAAAGAGGGUCGCGGAAUUCCCGGUGUAGAGGUGAAAUUCGUAGUUAUCGGGAGGAACACCGGUGGCGAAGGCGGCGACCUGGGUCGAGACUGACGCUGAGGCGCGAAAGCGUGGGGAGCAAACAGG